rnacentral:lncRNA from 10 species
GAACCGUUUAUUUUUUCCCCCCUCUUUCUAGUCGAGGGAAGGGGGGGCUUUUUUUCUUAAGUGGAAAAUGCUUGGAUAACCGAGGGGAGAGGGGGCUGCGGAGUUAAAGAAAGGGUAGACGGGCUCCCAGUUGCCGAGUUAAUCAGGACGUUUCUCGGGGUAACGAAUUUUUAAAUUACAAAAUGCCUGCCGAUGUAAUCCCAGACCGAGCUAUUUAUGGAAGGGGUAUUGGACAGCAGUGUUAGCAGCUGGAUUGCUGGAAUGGGGUACCUUUAUCUUGACCUAGUCAGGAGGGAAAUUCGACAAAUUUCUUGGAUUACUUGGUUUGGAGUUAGAAAUGCAUCUUUGUACUUUACCUCAAGAAAUGGCUUCAAAUAGGUUUCCUGUUUUGUUUUUUUUUUUUUUGCCUUUUCGAAGUUGCGUUAUUGUGAUAUUUGUAAAGGGCUUCCUAUUACAUCUGCAAGAGGUUUUUGGCUUUCACCCCCAACCAGUGACCAAAGACUUGACCACUCAAAGUCCAGCUCCCCAGAACACUGCUCGACAUGGACACCGGUGUGAUUGAAGGUGGAUUAAAUGUCACUCUCACCAUCCGGCUACUUAUGCAUGGAAAGGAAGUUGGCAGUAUCAUCGGAAAGAAAGGAGAAUCAGUUAAGAAGAUGCGCGAGGAGAGUGGUGCACGUAUCAACAUCUCAGAAGGGAAUUGUCCUGAGAGAAUUAUCACUUUGGCUGGACCC